rnacentral:lncRNA from 1 species
UCUACUUUUACUAUCUGUUAUUUUUAUCUUAUUUGAUCCCAUUCCAAUCAUUGUUCUACGACUAAACGUAACCUUCAUGAGGUUUGAGACUCCAGAUGAUUGCAAAAGUUUUGGUCUGCUGAUCAGGCGCUGCAUGAAUUCUUGCCCCGAGCCCAUUUAUCGAAUUUUUGCUUGUCUAAACCAUCUAGCUCAGCAGCAGCGUCCACGUCAAUCCCCUUCCCUUGGAAAAAGCUCGCCCUCGAGUCAGGCUUAGGUUAAAGGAUAAAAUGGUUCUUCAUCUGCAAAACAGGCAUAAAUUUCAGAAGACAUUAAACAUCGGAGAAAUACACAGAGAACCUGGAAGGUCAGCCACAUGGGCAUUGUUCGUUGAUUCUCUGCUUGAUCUUGCAUGGACCGGAUCCUUGGCCCAAGCUUGCCAUACCGACCCCAUGAGAAAUAGCUCUCGUUGAAGGAAUACCAUCACGUCAUUGCCUACCUAGAAAACCCAACGCCUUCGGUUUCGUCCAGCUGCUUCUCCGCCCCUUGUUUAUACUUGUCAUUGGCCUCCUCAAGCUUCUGUUUCACCUCGGUCUAUGUCAACUGCAGCUGUUUCGCUAACAAGAACAGAGAAAAUGGUUGCGCAAAAAGUGUAGCACAUUGUUCUAUAUUACAGAAAAACCAUUAUUCCCACCAUGUAUGAACCCAAUGUCAAGAAGGUCCUUGAAAGAUUGUCAGUACCGUGGACGAAUGUCUUUUUAUGGAUUCAUUAAAACACUCCUUUAAAUUACAGCAAUGAUAAGGUAAAAACCAUUAGAUUACAUGAAUGUUGUUCCCCACAACAAAUGCAUAAGCAGCUAAAAACCAAGAUGACCA